UACGUAGGGUCCGAGCGUUGUCCGGAGUUACUGGGCGUAAAGCGCGCGCAGGCGGCGGUGCUGGCCCGGCGUGAAAGCCCCCGGCUCAACCGGGGAGGGUCGUCGGGGACCGCACCGCUUGAGGGCGGUAGGGGCUGGUGGAAUGCCUGGUGUAGUGGUGAAAUGCGUAGAGAUCAGGCGGAACACCCGUGGCGAAGGCGGCCAGCUGGGCCGUCCCUGACGCUGAGGCGCGAAGGCGCGGGGAGCGAACGGG
rnacentral:rRNA from 1 species